rnacentral:lncRNA from 1 species
GCGGAACCCGUCAUCAGCUAAGUACAGAGCGGGCGGCGGGCGGGGCGGCGGCCGGGGAAAUUGCCGGUUCCCGUGCCCCGCGGGGCCUGCGGGCGCCCCGAGUCUGGGGGCCCGGGGCGGGCGGGCCGGGGUCCGGGGGAUCCCGGGGGGUCACGGGCGGCCCGGGUCCGAGUGCGCCGGUACUGAGCUCGAGAACGGCCCCCGCUGGGGAAGGAGCCGCUGGCAGCGCGGGGGCCGCGCGCAGGGCAGGGGGCGGCGGCGGCGCCGGCGCGGGCGGGGAGGGAGGGCGCGGCUCCGGGCGCGGGGCCAGGUCGGGCGGCCCGGGGCUCCGCGGGGGACGCGCGGCGAGGACGCGGGGCUCUCGGCACCCCUCUCCCGUAGCGGGGCCCUGCCCCGGCUCUUAGAAAGAGCAUUGGGCUCCGGGCCAGAGCGCCGUGGGGCCAGCGCCCCAGCCCUUAGUGAAUUGCUUCAUCUGCCACUCAUGUCCUGCGCCCUGGAAGCUGCAGAGAGAGCCUCGGCUCCCCGUGCAAGCGCUGGGCUGACAACUGACAGCGGCGACGCUUGGAAUGAGACGUCCAAGGGUUCAAGGGUCAACUCUUUCCUCCAGGCCUAGCAGAUCAUAGAUACUCCUUCUUCUUAAACUUAUUAAGGAAAAAGGCAGUCACUCAUGCCUUCCGCCAACAAAUAUUGACUGAGCACCUACUAUGCGCUAGACAUGCUGCUAGGCCUUGAGGAUGGAGGGGUGAAUGAGACAGGCAAAGCCUCAUGUUCUUUUGGUGGAGACAAGCAAUAAACACUUGAAUACACAUCUCAGACAAGAUAGUGCUGCAGAUGGUGAUGGGUGUCAGGGAGACUCCUCAUCACCUGAGGCAAGGGGAAAAGGCAUUGUGGGAGACGGGGGAGCUGUUCUAUUUGAGACUCAGUGGCCCCAGAGGAAGGGCUUCCUGGGACAGUGCCCUUUAAGCUGAGACCUGAGCAAAGCGUGAGAUUUAGCAAGGCAAUUUUCUAAGGGAAGGUUUUUUAGAUAAAGCAGACUGCAGGUGCAAAGUUCCCAGCCCUUGCUGGUAGAAUGAUCUCUCAGGCUCCUGAGCCCCCAAAGCACAAGAUUGCACCCCUUCCUCUGACAAGAGAGGAAGCGUGAAGCCCAGAUCUGGAGUCAGGCAGACCUGGCUUUACAUUCUGGCCCUGGUACUCACUAGCUGUGUGACCUUGCACACAUCACUUAGCCUCUCUGAGUGGUAGUUCCUGCGUCUGUCACAUGGGGAGAAUAAUGCUCUGUUCUUUACAGGUUUGUGUGAGGAUUCAAUGAAGUAACACCAAAAUGUUGCAAGCCCAGACUUGGGCAUCCUUAUGUGCUCAAACAAAUGAUCUCUGGGUUCCCUAAGAAGACCUCACCUUCUGCAUCUGAAAACUAGGUCUCUCUGACUCGGAGUGAAAAGCGAAUUUACCUUUCCCCAUCCUGGUGGCAACGAGGGGGCCCAUGGUAGAACUGUGCGCAGCUUGGACAAACUCUGGGAGAGGGGUCCCAGCUGGGGUUUCCUGUUGGACGCCCUUUGGAACUCAGAGCCCCGUUGACAGGAGGAGAGAGGAGCAGUUGAUUGGACAGCUCCCCACCCAGCCAGCCACACUAUCCGAGUCUCAGGCAUUUGGUGGAGUUCAGAGAGGAGGCCUCCAGCAAGCCCAGGUCAGGGCCAAGCUGUCACACUGAUUCUGCACCUGUAAAGUCCCUGGGACGGGAGGAGCUGAGGGGCAAACUGGACUCGGAGAGAAACUGCCAGGCCUCUAACUUCCGACAGGCAUAGUAACCCCACUUUACAGGAGAGGAAGGUGAGGUGGGAGAGGUAAAGUGACUUGAAGGGUCCGCCAGUGUGCAGGGCGCACAACCAGGAUUUGAGGGCAAAGCCAAACCCUCAGCCCUGGGCCCCAGGUGCCAGCCAGCUUUCAAGGGCCCACAUCUCUGGGCAGAAUCCGGCUCCGCGGUCCAAAUCCCGCAACCCCGCUACCUCCCAGCCUCCCCCAGCAGCUCUGGGAGGCCAGCGCCUCCCUCCUCAUUUCAUUUUACUCUGGCCCCCUUCUGUGGGCUGGGCACAGUGGGCACCAGACACACCACGCUUUUCUCUCAUUCAAUCCUCGCGGCAGCUCAGUGAGGGACCGUCCCCAUUUCACAGAAGGGGAAACGGACACUCCGACAGGCUCCAGGAGCUGCCCAGGGCCACACAGCUCUGCAGUAUAGGAGUCAGGAUGGAGACCGGGUCCUUUGACGGCAGGUGCUCCUUCCACUGUGUCGCAAGAACCUGCUUAGAACAGUCACCCAGUCUGAGGACCCGAGACUGCGUGCUCGUCCUGGCUUCAGCCAGCAUUUCUUGUUUUUUCUUUUCUUUUCUUUUCUUUUCCUUUUUUUUUUUUUUUUUUUUUUUAGAUUGAGUCUCUCUCUGUUGACCAGGCUGGAGUGUAGUGGCGCGAUCUCGGCUCACCGCAACCUCCCCCUCCCGGGUUCAAGCGAUUCUCCUGCCUCAGCCUCUCGAGUAGCUCCGGGACUACAGGCACCCGCCACUACGCCCAGCUAAUUUUUGUAUUUUUAGUAGAGACGGGUUUCACCGCGUUAGCCAGGAUGGUCUCGAUCUCCUGACCUCUUGAUCCGCCCGCCUUGGCCUCCCAAAGUGCUGGGAUUACAGGCGUGAGCCACCGCGCCUGGCCUUCUUGUUUUUUCUUACAAAUAACUCCUUUAUCGUGUUUCACCCACGUGCUCACACUUGAUCUUCCUAAAACCCACGCGAGGCAGGUCUGAUGAUAGUUCGACUUUUAUGGGCGAAGUGCCACAAGAGACCAGCCAGGGUCGGGGACCUUGUUCUUAAACUUUCCAGAUUGUCCCCAGGCUCGCGUCGCUCCCGGGAACGGCCAAUGGACGCUUGUGUUCUUCCAGCGCCCCCUACAGCCUUGCAAUGGCAUUAAAUCACCCUGCCGGACCAGUUACUUUUGCUUGAAAAGUUUUCUUUCUUCUCAAUACUUCGCUGCUGACUCUGGGCUUUUCCCUUACAAGUUUGGUUUAUUUAUUUAUUUAUUUAUUUUUGAGACGGAGUCUCGCUCUGUCGCCAGUCUGGAGUGCAGUGGCGCCAUCUCAUCUCACUGCAACCUCCGCCUCUCGGGUUCAAGCGAUUCUUCCGCCUCAGCCUACAGAGUAGCUGGGACUACAGGCGCGCGCCACCACGCCCAGCUAAUUUUUGUAUUUUUAGCAGAGACGGGGUUCCACCAUGUUGGCCAGGGUGGUCUCUAUAUCUUGACCUCGUGAUCCGCCCACCUUGGCCUCCGAAAGUGCUGGGAUUACAGGCGUGAGUCACCGCGCCCAGUCUUUUUUUUUUUUUUUUUUUAGAGACAGGGUCUUGCUCUGUCUCCAGGCUGGAGUGCAGUGGCACGAUCAUAGCUCGCUGCAGCUCAACCUCCCGGGCUCAGGCGAUCCUCUUGUCCCAGCCUCCCAAGUAGCUGGGACUGCAGCCCCGUGCCACCAUGCCCGGCUUCCCCUCACAAGUUUGGACCCACCUCGUCCCUCCUUGCUCAACAUAUUUAGCAAUAGUUAAAGCAUGUUUAUUUUCUGUAACUUCGUCUUCAGGAAAGUAAGAUAUAAUAAAGGCUUAACCAACUGGGGAGGUCGUCAGGCUUGAGAAUCACAAGGCGUGUGGAUCGCCACCAGCCUGGGAACUUUAAGGGGUGAGGUCUGUGUUCCCCCAUCGUCCUAGACCAAGGCUGUCCCAGGAAAGGGACUGUGUCUCCCUCAGGCUCCCCUGCCCCCCACAUCUCGAUGAGGCUCUUCAGAGCAAUGACAGGGGCAGUGAGUGGGGAAGAGGUGUCUUCUGGCCUCUGCUUACACCUUGCGGUGGGUGACACCCUGUGCCUGCAACAGAGGAGGGGAGUCCUGUGUUCCCUGAGGCUCGGGCGGAGAUUAGAAAGAGCCAGAAAGACCUGGCAGGUGCAGCCUGGGGCUCUCUCUGCACAUACAGGCCUUUCUCAGAGCCCAGAGGAACUUGAACCUGGGCAGCCGUGUGAGUGAAUCUUUCUGAGGGGGGCAUAUUUGAGUGGAAGACUGCCGUUCCAGGAGGCAGGAGCCUGGGACGGCAUUCACUGGGGAAGGGGGAGGGGCCAGGAGAGGAGAGCGGGAAAGGCCAGCCCAUGUCAAAGGUCCCAUGGUACCCAGGUCUCCACUCUGAAUGUCCUGCCGCCCACUGGUCACCCCAACCCUGAGGUCCUGCAGGUUCCUCAACCCCCAUCUCCAACAUUCCCGCCCACACCUCCCCCUCCUUCUGGGUUACUCCUCUUGGUUCAUUCAUUCAUCAGGCAUUCGACUAACACCUAGCUGAUCAUUUAUCAAGUGCCAGGUGUAUUUUGUUUGUUUGUUUGGUGGGAGUUUAUUGAAGUAUAAUUUACAUAUUGUAAAAUUAACCCUUUUUUAACGUACAGUUAUAUGGGAUCUGACAAAUUUUUAACAGAUGUGUAAACACUGCCACAAUCAAGAUAUAGAAUAUUUCCAUCAACCCAGAAAAUUCUUUCCUGCUCCUUGUAGUCAACCCCUCCUCCCACCUCCAGCCUCAGACAACCUCUGAUCUGUUUUCUGUCUCUAUAGUUUUGCCUUUUCCAGAAUGCCAUGUACAUGAAAUCAUACAGCACAUAAUCUUUUUAAUCUGACUUCUUUUGCUGGGCAUCAAUGCUUUUGAGAGUCAUCUAUGUGGUUGCAUGUAUUCAUAGUUGUUCCUUUUCAUUGGUGAGAUGGACUGCAGUGUAUAGGUAUAUACUACAAUAUAUUUUUCUAUUCACCAGAUGAUGAGCAUUGAGUUGUUUCUAGUUUUUGGCAAUUAAUAAUGCUACAGUAAACAUUCAUGUGUAGGUUUUUGUGCAAACAUAAAUGUUCAUUUUUCUGGGAUAGACGCCUAGAAGUGGAAUUGUGGGGUCUUAUGUAAAUGUAUGUUUCACUUGAUAGAAAUCUGCCAAAUUCUGGCCGGGCGCGGUGGCUCACGCAUGUAAUCCUAGCACUUUGGGAGGCUGAGGCAGGCAGAUCACUUGAGGUCAGGAGUUCGAGACCAGCAUUGCCAACAUGGUGAAACCCUGUGUCUACCAAAAAUAAAAAAAUUAGCUGGGUGGUAGUGGCGCGCACCUGUAAUCCCAGCUACUUGGGAGGCUGAGGCAGGAGAGUCUCUUGAACACAGUGGGGUUGGAGGUGGAGGUUGCAGUGAGCCGAGACUGCGCCACUGCACUCCAGCCUGGGUGACAGAGUAAGACUCUGCCAAAGGAAAAAAAAAAAAAAAGAAAGAAAGAAAGAAAAAAAGAAAAAGAAAUAUGCCAAAUUCUUAUUCAGAAUGGCUGUACCAUCUCCAAAGCCAUAAUAACCUCUGAAGUUUAAAUUUUAAUUUGAGUGUCUUGAAAAAUACCAGGAAGAAUCUUAUUCCUAACUGGAAGCAUCACUGUUUUGGGCAAAUGAAAGUUUUCCCUUCACUAGGGUAGCUGCUGGGUGUGGAAGUGAUGGCUUGUACAUUAAGCAUAUUCUAUAAAAACUGCCAAACCAUUUUCCAAAGUGAAAGGAGGAUUGCUUGAAUUUAGGAUUUCAAGUCCAGCCUAGGCAACAUAGUGAGAGCCUCAUCUCAAACAAAAAAAAAAUGCAAAAGUAGGAAUGCAAAAGUACUAGAGCUUUUGCAUUCCUCUAGUAAUGUUUGCAUUUUGAUUUUUCCACAUCUUUAUCAGGUGCUAGUCUUUAAAAAUGUUUUAUUAUGAAAAUUGGUAAUAUCUGCAAAAGUAGAAAGAAUAGUAUUAAUAUAAUGGGUCUCCGUGUGCUCAUCACCAGUUUCGUCAAUUACCCUUUCAUGGCUUAUCUUUUUUUUUUUUUUUUUUUUUUUUUGAGGUGGAGUUUCACUCUUGUUGCCCUGGCUGGAGUGCAAUGGUGCAAUCCCGGCUCACAGCAACCUCCACCUCCCGGAUUCAAGCGAUUCUUCUGCCUCAGCCUCCUGAGUAGCUGGGAUUACAGGCAUGCGCCACCAUGCCUGGCUAAUUUUAUAUUUUUAGUAGAGACAGGGUUUUUCCAUGUUGGUCAGGCUGGUGUCUAACUCUGGACCUCAGGUAAUCUGCCCACCUCAGCCUCCCAAAGUGCUGAGUGCUGAGAUUACAAGAGAUUACAAGCAUGAGCCACCGCACCCAGACUUUUUUUUUUUUUUUUUUUGACAGGGCCUCACUCUGUCACCCAGGCUGGAGUGCAGUGGCAUGAUAUCAGCUCACUGCGGCCUCAACCUCCCAGGCUGAAAGGAUCCUUCUGCCUCAGCCUCCGGAGUAGCUGGGACUACAGGUGCCACCACACCUGGCUUUUCAUGGCUUAUCUUGUUUCAUCCCCUGCUCUCCCACAAUGACCAAGUUACUUCUGAAGCGAAUCCUAGAUGUCGUAUCAUUUCAUUCCUAUUCAAUAUUAUGUCUAAAAGACAUGGAUUCCUUUUCUUUGUUUGUUUUGCUUUUGAGAUGGAGUUUCACUCUUGUUGCCCAGGCUGGAGUGCAAUGGUGCGAUCUUGAUUCACCGCAAGCUCCACCUCCCGGGUUCAAGCCAUUCUCCUGCCUCAGUCUCCCGAGUAGCUGGGAUUACAGGCAUGUGACACCACACCUGGGUAAUUUUGUAUUUUUAGUAGAGACAGGGUUUCUCCAUGUUGGUCAGGCUGGUCUCGAACUCCCGACCUCAGGUGAUCCACCUGCCUCGGCCUCCCAAAGUGCUGGGAUUACAGGCGUGAUCCACCAUGCCCGGCCAUGGAUUCCUUUUUUAAAAAGCCACAAUACCCUUAUCACAUAUAAAAUGUGUGCCAUUAUCACUCUUCCUAUCAUGAACUCUCCAGUCAGUGCUCACAUUUCCCAGUGUCUCAUGAAUGUCAUCAUUUCUCUUUUUUCAACUUGUUUGUUUGAAUCAGGAUACAAAUAAGGUCACUGUGUUCCAAUUGGUUUAUGUGUCUUUAAGUUACUUUGUUUGAAAGUCAUUUGGAAUAGUUUUUCUCUUUGUGGUAUUAAAGUAAAUUAAAAUGAAGACCAGGCCUAAAGAAUCCCUGAGCAAACAAAACCAGUUAGGCUCAGAAGUAGCCAACAAACUUAUAAUUAUAUAAUGAGGGACUUUCCUAUGGGAUAGAUUAAAUAAGGCAACUGUAUAACUGUAACCAAUCAAAUAUUUUCUUUGCUUUACUUCUGUGUUCCUUGUAUAAAAACCCAUCCCUUGUGUUCCCUCACUUCUGGUUUGGAACUGCCCAAUUCAUGAAUUGUUGUUUGCUCCUAUAAAUUCUUUAAAAUUUUAUUGUGCCUCAGUUUACUUUUUUCUUAUUUUUAGAGACAGGGUCCAGAUCUGUUACCCAGGCUGAAGUGCAGUAGCAUGAUCUUAGCUCACUGCAGCCUCAAAUUCCUCAAUCCUCCUGCAUCAGCCUCCUGAGAAGCCAGGACUACAGGUGCACAGCAGCACACCUGGCUAAUAUAUAUAUUAGAAACAGGGUCUUGCUAUGUUCCCCAGGCUGGGCUAGAGCUCCCAGCCUCAAGUGAUCCUCCUGCCUCAGCCUCCUAAAGUGCUGGCAGAGGUGAGCCACUGGGCCUGGCCUCAGUUUAAUUUGAAUGGUGGUUAAAUAAUUAAUUCAAUGUGUAGAUUUAUUUGCUUUAUUUUACUUUAGGUUUUUAGAAUUUUUAAAGCUUUUUAUUUAGAAAUUUAUUUAAAGAUUUUAAAUUUUAUUUCUGGUUCCAAAAUCUAUCAUACAAAUAUAUCCAGAAAGGUCUAGCUUUUAUGCCCCUUUCAAUCCUUUCCCUUCCCCAUAACUAUUAAUUUUUAAACAUUAUUCUUUAUUAUUACAUUAAUUUAAUAUGUAUCACAUACAUAAUGCAUAUGUAUUCGUAUCCCUCCCUCCUUUUUUUUUUUUUUUGUUUGAGAUGAGGAUCUCACUAUGUUGCCCAGGCUGGACUUGAAAUCCUAAAUUCAAGCAAUCCUCCUGCCUCAACCUCGAGUAGCUGGGACUACAGGUAUACGCCUCCACGUUUGGCUCUUCCUUCCUUUUAGGUAAGGAUUAGCAUGCAAUGACACUUCUCUGCCUCUUGCUGUAUUCACUGUCCAUCCCACUCCAGCUGUCUCUCCCUAGUAGUUGGUCAAGAUUGUCCUCAGUCCCCUUUACAGCCACAGAGUCCUCCAUUGUGCUGAUAACCACAGGCCUCUGCUGAUGGACAUUUUCCUUGCUCCCAUUCUUUAGCGAUUACAAAUUGAAUUGCAAUAAAAAGCCUGUGCUUACACCUUUUGGUAUUUUUGCUAGUGUCUCUCUACGGUAGAUUCCCAGCAAUGGGAUUCUUGAGUCAAAGGUUGAACAUACAUGCAAUUUUGCUAUAGCUAUUGCCAAAUUCCCCUGCAGAAGGCCUGCAUCAUUUUGCAUUCCCGUCAGCUCUGGCUAGGAGUGCCAGCAGAAUGCAUUGCCAAACUUUUGGAUUUUUGACAAUCUGAUAGGUAGGAAAUGGUAUCUCUGAGUAGUUUUAAUUUGCAUUUCUUUUGUUUGAGCAAUGUUGAUCAUAUUUUCACAGGGUUAUGAGCCAUUUGCAUUUCUUUGUCUGUGAAUUGUGUGUUAAUAUUUUUGUUUUGUUUUUGAGACUGAGUCUUGCUCUGUCACCCAGGCUGGAGUGCAGUGGUGCGAUCUCGACUCACUGCAAGCUCUGCCUCCCAGGUUCAUGCUGUUCUGCUGCCUCAGCCUCCCCAGCAGCUGGGACUAGAGGUGCAGGCCACCACGCCCAGCUAAUUUUUUUUUUUUUUUUUGUAUUUUUAGUAGAGACGGGGUUUCACCGUGUUAGCCAGGAUGGUCUCAAUCUCCUGACCUCGUGAUCUACCCGCCUCAGCCUCCCAAAGUGCUGGGAUUACAGGCGUGAGCCACUGCGCCCGGCCAUUGUCUGUUAAUAUUUUUAGCCCAUUUGUCUAGGAAGUUGUUCGUUUUUCCCUUCUCUACUUUUAGAAGCCAUUCACUAGAGACAUUCAUGCUUUGCCUGUGAUACAGGUUGCAAGUGUUUUCUGCCGUUUGUCAUUUGUCUUCUUUCUUUCUCUGUUUGUUUGUUCGCUUAUUUAUUCAUUUAUUCUGGGGAUGUAGCCAUGAACAGGGUGACCCUGAGGGGCUCCACUGACAUGCACAGCCCAAGUCAGAACCUUGGAUGGUCCUGUAUGCGCCUCGUCCCAACCCUUCCCUGUGCUGUCCUUUCUGCCUCUGACCCCUCUCCUGCUGCCCAGUGACCACCCUGCCCCUGUCCUUCCCUGCCUGGGCCCUCAGCAUCACCCAGUCUGAGCUCACAGAGGACUGGAAACAAGCCUGUUUGUCUCUGUAUCCCCCCCACGACGUGCAGGGCAACUGAUCAGUGAAUGAGUGAAUGAAUGAAUGAAUGAAUGAAUGAAUCCUGUGUGGCUAAAACAGCCUCUCCGCCCAGGAAGCCAAGUCAGAGAGGAGCUUGGAAGAGCACUUUCGAGAUCAAGGUUUCUUCACCCCUUGCAUUCUCUUCAGACCUAACUCAGGUCUGAGUUUCUACUCCCAAAUGCCUCACAGGCAAUAUAUGAUGCCUGCUUCUUUUCAUGAUUUAAAAGAACACUCGCUUAUUGUAGAAAAUGUGGAAAAUACAGCAGUACAAAAAAAGAAUUAGAAAUUCUCCAUUAACUCAUUGCCCAGAGGAAACGGCCGUGGGCAUUUUGGUGUAUUUUUAUUCAACUUUGAAAGACAUAUUUUAUUUUUACACAUUUUAUUUUAUACAGUAUAGACAUACAUAUGCAUACACGCCUCCUCUCAUGACAUUAAACUUUUGCACAACUUCACAAUUGUAAAUGAUCACAGAAAAAUGCCUCAAAAUGAAUGUAUCAUAUCCUAGCCCCACCACUUAACCUCUCUGUGCCUCAGUUUUCUCCUCUGUAAAACGGGGAUAAUAAUAGUAUCUACUUUAUAAGUUGCUUGUAAGGGUUCAAUGUGAUUAUGGUGUGAAUGUGGGAAGCGCUCAGAAAGUAUCAUUUUCAUUAUUAUUAGAACUAUUAUUCCUUAAUUGCAAACAUUUAAAUUCUAAUUUUAUUCUAUUGCAAAUGACACUGUAAUGAAUCUCUCUGCUCGGGAGGGUUGUGUGGGAACCUCAGGGAGCUUGCUUCACCCACCCCCGCCCCCCAAAUUAAGCACAACAGGGACAGAGAGAGCGAGGUGUGCUGGGAGGCCCCGUGGCUAAAAGUUAGGAGACCAGAUCUUGGCACUGGCAGCCUGGGGAAGGAGGGCAAAGGGGUGGGGGUGCAGGGAAUGGCAUCUGUGAAAGCUCAGAAGCUUCUAGAAGAGCAUGGGAAGUUCUGAUGUGGUUGCUGGGAUGGCAGUUCUUGUCCCUAUUUGACCUAUGGGUAAUUGAGGGCCAGGAAAGGGGUGACUUGUCUGAUGACGUGGAUGGGCACCAAGUCUGAGCUUCCUGGCUCUCCACAUGCCUGAAAAACAUCUGUGUUUGUUGGGAGAAGGAGAUGAAGAAGAGGAGGAGGAGGAAGAAUUUGGGGCUUUCGAAGCAUGCAUGCCUGUGUGCCCCUGCCCAAUCAAGGUUCAGCUGUCCUGCAAAGCAACCCAGCGGGUCCUGUGAGCUGGAGGCCAGUUUGCCCUGUUUGUCUCCAUGGGUCUUUUCCCUGAUGUCUCCCAAACAGAGACCGUUGGGCUGGCAGCUGGCAGGUCUCCUGAGCUCCACCCUCACCUCCCAUCCCUUCAACCCAGUAGCCUUGCAGACAAAGGCUGGAAAGCCAGGUCCCAUUUCCAGUCAUCAUCCACAGUGCAUAAUUAGGCAGUGCUUGCCUUGUGUUUAUUUAAAGAAGGAGUGUGAACUUGGCAUCAGUGCUUCUGCCAAGAGGGAAGAGCCCCGGAAGGCCCAGAGAAAGCUGGGGGCUUGGGCAGCAGGGGUUUGAGGCCUGAGAGGCCAGGCCGGCCUGUGGUAUAGACAUCGACAAGCAAAGUUUGAGGACUCCUGAAAGUUCUCCAAAAUCUUACCUGCUACCUGUCACCAUUCUCAGUCCGUUAUUAGAACUGUAGCUUCUCAACAGCUUUCUAAGUUCCAAAGAAAAUGCAAAUUAAUACUUCUUGGGGCGCCUCUAUCCUUUAUGGUCUGAAUUUGAGAACAUUGCAAUAGCAGCCUCAUUGCUGCACUAGUCCAAACACUUCUGUGUAACCCUCUUCCACAUGCAGUACUGAGGAGUUCUUGCUGCCUACUGUUUACAGAGGGUAGUCCAAGAAAUAAGAAAUGUCAGUCCCACAUGGUGAAAACUCUGCACUCUAGGGCUUGGGAAUUAUCUGCUAAUAAGACCUGACAUUUCUGAAGGCCAUUAUGAGUUAAACCUCAGGCUCAGAAUGUAUAAUGGGGAGAGAUUCUAGAUACUUCUAGACCACUCUUCUCAUGGAGUAGAAAAAAAUGUAGAGAAACCUCAGAGAGGGGAAGGGACUUACCUACACCAGUUAACGGUAGAGCUAGGACUAGAACACAGGUCUCCUGAUUUCAGUCUCAACUCUCAGGCACCAUGUUGCUUCCCUCCAUUCAAAGAUCAGUGAGGGGGCAGUCAGCACCAGCUGGAGUGUGGCAGUGAAGAGCUCACAGUCCCUGCCCAAGAGGAGCUCCCAGAGGCUGACAAGGGUAUGGGAACAGGGACUCAUCUGAAUCAGAGUGGGUGGAGUUUAGACAGGGGUGGGUCUGAAGAACUGUGGGGAACAGGGUGGUGAGACAGACAUCAGCAAAUUUCCCAAGGGGGUUAGCACAGGAGGUUGAAGGAUGAAUGGGGCUUCUUUACCAGGAGACAUAGGGAAAGGUGUUCCGGGAAAAGGGAAGGGCAAACUCAUGGGAAAAGGAGGCUGAUUUCUCCUGUUCCCAGGUUACAGUGGAUUCCCUGCGGGCUUAACCAGGAUCCCUAGCGCUCAGUGCAGACCCUCCCACGGCAGGGCCCGAGGCUGUAAUCUGUAACCUUAUUGUGACAUAUAUAGUUACAAAGAGAUUGGUUGGACAGGAUGGAUUUUAAUCGAAAAGAGUUAGCCUCUACUGGUGGAAAUGCGGACAUUGUGGCAGGUGAUGAGAAGAAUCCUUUUUGGGGUAGCAGUGGUGAAAACGCUUGCAUGGGUGCGCUGGCAUGCGUGCAGGGACACCUCUUCCUUGUUCUCAAUUCUGUUGACUUUCAAAUUGCAGUUUAAGAGCCAUCUUCCCAUGUCCAACUGUUAAGGUGGCCACUACCCCCUCCCUCUUCUGGACCAUGCCAUCCCCUGCUCUGAGUCUCAGUUUCUCCACAUGUAAAAUGAGGCAGGUGGACUUGCUUGUCUUAAAGGCCCCUUCUGCCUGGGGCUGGUUCUUUAGCCCAGUCUCUGCUUCUCCCUCUGCGGGGAUGUCAGAGGCGCCCUCUCGUGGUCAAUAUUGGCCAUGCAUCCUUGGACUUGGCGCAGGUUUUUGCUUGGCCUCUGAGGGUGUGUGCUUGUGUGUGCAUGUGCGUGUGAGCGUGCCUGUGUACUGGGAGUGGUUACACAGCGGGUGCGUGACAGGCUCAUGACACAUAGAAUGCAGAGCUUCGCUAACUCUCAGACCCUGAUGAAAACACAGAUAAGGAGGUGGGGGUCAUUUAAAAUAAGGGCAAAACCUGCUAAAAGCUUCCUGGGGCCCUUGCCUGGGACACCUAGAGUUCCAAAAUGCCCUAGGCCACCCAUCUUGCUAAUAUACUUUGAGAGCAUCACUCCUCUGCUCAGAAUCUCAUCCUGCCACCCCUCUGCUGAACAGAGUAAACAUCAAACUCCUGGCCCUCCAGAAUACCUGUGGCCUCACUUCUCACUCUUCUUUCCUAUACCACUCCAGGUGAACCACUCCAUCCUUCCCAUCCCCUAUCCUCAGCUUAUGCUGGGAUUUUUUUUCCCAGAGUGUCCUACCCUCUCCUUUAGUCCCCCAUAGCACCUUUCAAGAUGUGGCUAAAAUGCCACCUCCUCCAGGAAGACUCCCUGAAUUUUCCCACUUGGAUCUGUGCUCUCUUUCCUCUGAACCUCCUGGCAACUUUGUCUAUAACUGUCUCCUGGGAUGUAGACAGUUUUAGAGUUUACCCAGGUAAUUUAGGUCGAAGAUGUCCUGUUUUGUUCCCCCUACUCAAAAACUGGCUCCAUGACUGCUUUAUAUCUGGGUCCUUCUAAAUACUGAGCCUUCCCCAUGGCAUCCAGGCAUCCCUCUGCAAGGCCCUGAUUCCCACUCCUUCCCUCUGCCUCCUCCUUCAGUAGGGGCUGCUGUCAUGCAAGGAGGUCUGGCAGUGGAGGAAGAAGACAUGAGCCUUGGGCCAGACUCUUACUGGAUUCCCACCCCACCUGCCCCGUCUUCAGCAGACAAGCUGGUACCCAGCACAAAGGCUCCAGCUGCUGAGCUGUGUGUGGGAGCCUGGUCUCUGGGUGCCCAGAAUGAAGGGUCAGACCCAGGUCACUGCCUGACUCUUUCUUUCAAGGACCGAAGUAAGAACUACAGGCCUAACAGUAACAUCCCUGGCUAUUUGUAGAAGUCCGCUUGGUCGGUCCAUGCUCUAUAACAUGAAUUUCUCAUACAACCCAUUUUUAGAUGGGGAAACAAGAGCUCAGAGAGGCUAGGUAACUUGUUCAAGAUCACACAGCUCUGAGUGCAAGUGUUCAAACAUAGUCCCCACUUUCCAUCCGUCUCCAAAUCCUGUGCAGUUUCUGGAAUAUUCUGCUGUCACUGUGCCUUGCACAAAUCCAGGUUUUGAUAAAUUCCUGGAUAAUAAAAGGCAGACAUGAGUCAACAUAUAACCAGCUCUUUCUCUUUGACUUCCAUAUUGCCCCAGGCCCACACGCGGACCUCUGCAUGAGGGAAGAGUGACAGAACUGGGUUUGUCUGAGAGGGUGAUGGCUCGGGGGGCCAAAGGGAGAGGUGAACCCUGCAUCCCAGGAGGGGUGAAUUCUCUGAUGUGAAUCAUCUGGGUGGUAGGGAGUAAUGGGUCCUGGGCAUGGUGGGGACUGUCACACCCUGAUGCGCUGUCCCAGUUAGGUUGGAGGAGGCUGGGAGGGCCAUCUGACCACAAUGCAGGUCUGUUGCGGACCUCAAGGAGCCUGCAGGGAGUGCAGCCACCUCAGGCACACACCUUGGUGAUAGAUUUUACUGCUCAGCUGCUGAAGCCAUUGGUCAAUGAUGCUCCUCACAGUCAGAGAUCUGAGAGGGGCAUUUUCACAGCCACCACAGACCUUCUGCCUCCCAGGGCCUCCUCACUGGCCUGGCCUGGAGGACUGCCACUGGCACCCACAGUUAGAGGGAAGGAAGUUUCAGGCCUCUGUAACCCAGGAGAGAAGUCCACUAGUCCAGUCCAGGCCAGGUGUCCAGCUCUGGUGGGUGGAACCAUUUGCCCAGCUGUCCUUUGGCUGAGGGUUGGGGCCUGACCUCUGAAGUGAAGGCACCCACAGAGCUGGCCAUUGAGGCAAAUGUCCAGAAUCCUGGGGCAUGGGCACCGGCAGGGGAGAUGAGGUCAUGUGAGAUGUAGGUGCCACUCUCUUGCAGAACCCACCCUCGCACCUUGGCACACAGUGGCUCCACGAGGCCAAGAGCUGGUCUCUUGUUUAUCUGGGUGUAGGGCGUGCACACUGCCUGGAACUGACAGUGUCAGGGACUUCUGCUGGCCAGGACAGACCCCAUGCCUACUCAAUGGCCAUCAGCCCUAGGGCAGCAACAUCAGGAUCUGUCUUCCCCAUUGGUCAGGGGGCUUGUGGUAGGUUCAAACCACUGAUGGCAAGCAGUCCAGGCUCUAGUGUUGGUUUGGGGUCUGGCUCUCUCACUAACCUGAGCAAGUCCCUUACAUCCCCAGGGCUCAGUUUCCUUAUCUGUUGAGUAGAGAUCAUCACACUGAUGGCGAAGAGGCCUUGUGGUAUGGAGGGUUUGGGUUCAACUUUUUUUUUUUUGAGCUGAUUUGAAUCCCAUUUCCCUGGUUAUUUGCUAUAUGGCCUUAGGCAAGUUACUCAAUCUCUUGAAGACUCAAUUUCCCAUCUACAAAAUGGGAGUGAAGAAGAAUCUCUUCUUCUUUCCAAGAAAUGUACAUGUGAGGAUUCAAUAAGGGAACGCUCAGGCAGCUCUGAGCACAGCAUCUGGAGCGUCACUGCGAUGUGGCAGCACGCUCUGCAGCAUGCAGGACAGACACACUCCUUCCUCUCUCCUCCUUCACCUCUUCCCCAGCCCCACCCCUCACAUCUCCUUGGCUAAUGGGUCAAGCAGUGGUCAGUGUCUGGCCAACAGUGGAGACUCAACCAUGCACAGAGAGUGAAAAUGCAGUGCGCACCUCCUGUCCAGGUAGCCCCAACCUCAUUCAUUCACUUCCAGAAUGGCAGGUGCUGUGCUGAAUGCCUGGGAAGAUGGCCCCAAUGUUCCUCCCCAAGGGAUUGCCAGUCACAUCAGCACAGCACGGGAUGGAUCCUGCUGUGCCAACACUCUCUGCAGGCUUGUGGGGACCCUGGCUGAGAUGUCUGGACACCUGGAUUUCAAUCCGGUCUUUGCCAUCCACUCCCUGUGUGGCCCUCCCCCGCAAACUAAAUAAAAAUUUCAUGAGUUGGGGAAGGAGACUCAAGGGGAAGUGAGACGAGAGGACGGAAGUGAGUUGAAGAGCAGGGAGGAGCCUGGAGCCUGGAGCCUGGGCCUCCCUGUGCUGUGAUGUGUGCCAGAGUGGAAGCGGAAGUGGAAGCAGAAGCAGAAGUGGUCCUGCCGGUAGGUGUGACUGGCCUCACAGAGCUGCCAGGAUGCACCUGAGUGCUCAAGAGGGUUUCCCACAGCCCCAGGUGGAUUGGACUCAGAAGCAUGUUUCUGAUGUGCUCAAGAGUGUGGCCCAGACAAGGCACAGAGGACAGGAGUGUCAGAGGCAUUCAAACAAGAGCGACUCCAUCCUGAACGGGGGCUGGGUAAAAUGACGCUGAGGCCUGCCAGGUUGCAUUCCCAGGAGGUUAGGCAUUCUUAAGUCACUGGAUGAGAUAGGAGAGGGGCACAAGAUACUGGUUACAAAGACCCUGCUGAUAAAACAGGUUGCAGUAAAGAAGCUCGCCCAAACCAAAAUGGCAAUGAAAGUAACCUCUGGUCAUCCUCACUGCUCAUUACACGCUAAUUAUAAUGCAUUAGGAUGCUGAAAGACACUCCCACCAGCCCCAUGACAGUUUACAAACGCCAUAGCAACAUCUGGAAGUUACUCUAUAUGACUUAAAAGGAAAAGGAACUCUCAGUUCUGGGAAAUUCCCACCCCUUUCCUGGAAAAUUCAUGAAUAAACCACUCCUUGUUUAGCAUAUGAUCAAGAAAUAACCAUAAAAGUAGCCAACCAGCAGCCCUUCGUGCUGCUCUGCCUGUAGAGUAGCCGUUGUUUUAUUCCUUUACUUUCUUCAUAAACUUGCUUCUGCUUUACUCUGUUGACUCGCUGAUUUUUCUUUCUUGAGACAGAGUCUGGCUCUAUCGCCCGGGCUGGAGUGCAGUGGCGCAAUCUCUGCUUAUUGCAACCUUCACCUCCCAGGUUCAAGCGAUUCUCCUGCCUCAGCCUCCCAAGUAGCUGGGAUUACAGGCAUGCACCACCACACCCGGCUAAUUUUUGUAUUUUUAGUAGAGACGGGGCUCUGCCAUGUUGGCCAGGCUGGUCUCGAACUCCCCACCUCAGGUGAUCUGCCCGCCUCAGCCUCCCAAAGUGCUGGGAUUACAGGCGUGAGCCACCACGCCCGCCUGGAAGAUACUCAUUUUAUGGGAAAUAAUUCCUGGGUCCAAGCAAAGUGGGAGGUAGGUUAGAAGACCCCUGCAUAAAGCUGGGAUCCCAAAGGGCUGCAUCCUCAAUAAAGUAGGGAAAAAAUGUCCACAGAGACUUGUCUGCUUCUGUCUCAACUGCAGUUGGAGCACAGGAAAGAUGGGUUUUCCCUGGAAUCUCUGGGACAAGCCCAGUUUCGUUUCUUUUCUUUUUCUUUUCUUUCUUUCUUUCUUUCUUUCUUUCUUUCUUUCUUUCUUUCUUUCUUUUUCUUUCUUUUCUUUCUCUCUCUCUCUCUCUCUUUCUUUCUUUCUUUCUUUCCUUUCUUCCUUUCUUUUCUUUUCUUUCUUUUUUUUUUUUUUUGAUGGAGUCUCACACUGUCGCCUAGGCUGGAGUGCAAUGGCGUGAUCUUGGCUCACUGCAACCUCUGCCUCCCAGGUUCAAGCGAUUCUCCUGUGUCAGCCUCCCGAGUAGCUGGGAUUACAGGCGACUGCCACCACACCCGGCUAAUUUUUUUGUAUUUUUAGUAGAGAUGGGGUUUCACUAUGUUGGCCAGGCUGGUCUUGAACUCCUGACCUCGUGAUCCACCUGCCUUGGCCUCCCAAAGUGCUGGGAUUACAGGCAUGAGCCACCACGCUCGGCCUCGACAAGCUCAGUUUCAAGUGGAUGUGGCAUCGGAAUUCACACUGCCUAUAUUGCUUCCCUCUCUGACGCCAGAAAAAAACUAACUGAAAAUAUAGUUUCAAGUGUUCCCCAGAUGCCUGAUGAAGCAAUUGUGAAGACUCCCUAGAGGAACGCAUUUUAAAUCUAGGCUUCAAAGUAUUCUCACAAAUAAACUUCCAGGAACAGGAGGUUACACUAAAACAUAUAUAUUUUAAUGCACAUAUAUGUAUAUUAAACAGAAGAGAAAAUAAGCUACAUGACAUGAGAUUCAGCAGAAACAACAUUGCUGAAUCAGACCAACAACAACCAAAGAUAUCGGAAUGAUCUGUUGUAUGUAUAACAUAAAAUAAUUAUGUGUGGUUUGCAUAAAGAAAUUAAAGAUGUGAUCAAAUGUAUGACAAAAGAAUGAGAGACUAUCAAAAGUGAUCAGGUGAAGUUGAAGCAGACCAAAUAGAAUUUCUAGAAAUGACAAAUAAGUUAAAAUUUAAAACUUAAAUUGAAAUGAAAGCCCAACACAUGAAGGGUCAAUUCUGGAAAAGAUGGAGUAAACACACUCUACAUUAUACCUACUGACUGUGAUUCUAAACUACGGACAGGAUGCAUGGGCCAGCUAGCUGAGAACUUGGAAACUGCAUAGUAGCCAAUAUAUUGGAGAAGGAAACAAGAAUUUGAAGUAUGAUUGAACUGGGGUUGAGUUUCCCAUUUAUUUUCCCCCCAGUUUUGCCUGACCUUGACUCACAUGUAGCCCAAAACCUGGAAGAGUGCACCAGGUAGGGGCAGAUAGAGCUCCAAGAGAAUAGAAAGAACUCCUUUUCUGGUUUGAGGAGCAGGAAGGUGGCUCCUAAAGAUCAGAUGUGGGAAGUUUUCCUGUUUAUGUGUUUUUUUCUCCAUCGUCUCCCACUCAAGCUGCCAGGUAGUAUUGCAAUGGAGGCAGUGGCAAUGGUGAUAGCAGCAUUAGCCAAGUAGAUGCCUAAAAUUCUUAGACAGAAAAAACUUCUCCUACCAGAAAAGCCGUGAGCCCAAGAGCAUGGGGAAAUUCCUGUUACUUCUGUCUCCACCCUCACACCCCAAUCCCUCUGCCUUCUGUUCUCCUGCUGCUUGGCCCCAGACACAGAUGCAGUUAUAAGUACAUAGCAGAGCUGGGAAAUUAAAGUCCUAGAUUUCUGGCUGAGGGACUGGAAAAGGAGGCCCCAAAGAGCCAAAAACUGAUGAGGGAGAUUGUAGAGAGGAGAGAGCAUAAAAGAGUGAUCCCAUACUUUUGUGUAUAAACUCCCAGAAUCACCUCCAAACUGUGCAGCAUGGAUCUGAUCCCAAACAAAACAUCAAAGACCUUGAGAACUAGUCUACAUAUGAAACCCAUCUGAAGAGUACUGCAAAUGGCUUUGAAAACUGAAUUGAUAUUGGUACCAGAACCCAGAGAAGGUAGGUGGAACUGGCAGCCUGGACCUAGCCUGGUCACUUGUCUGCUAAAAUUAAAAAAAAAAAAAAAUCAGCAUUCUCUUUAGGAUUUAAACAAGACCACUCACUGGUUCUGUGAGUUAAAAAAAUAAAAAUCGAGAUCCAGAGUCUCAUAACAUACUAUUCAAAAUGUCCAGGAUACAAUCUAAAAUUACUUUGGAUAUGAAAAACUAGAAAAAACUCAACUCACAAUAAAAAGACAAUCAAAUAGAUGCCAACCCUGAGACAACACAGAUGUUGAAAUUAUCAAAGACUUUAAAGCAGCUAUUAUUACCUUACUCCAAGAAGUAAGGGUGAAUACUCUGGAAUGAAUGAAAAAUAGCAAGUCCCAACAAAGAAAUAGAAGAUAUAAAAAAUAACCAAACUGAAAUUACAAAACUGAAAAAUGCAAUUUUAAAAUAAAAAAACAAUAACUGGAAAAACUAGCAGAAUGGAGAUGAGAGAACAAAGAGUCAGGGAACUUGAAUAUAGAUCAAUAGAAAUUAUCCAAUCUGAACAACAAAGAGAAAAAAGAUUGAAAAAAUUGAACAGGGUCUCAGGGACGAGAGGGACAAUACCAAAAUGUCAACUGGUCAUGUAAUCAGAGUCCUGGAAGGAAUGGAGCAACAGUGCAGUUCAGGAAAUAAUAAUUGAAAAAAAAUAACAGCUGGAAACUUCCCAGAAUUACAGCUUCAAGAAAUUCAGCAAACUUC